rnacentral:lncRNA from 1 species
AUGUUACUACUCCAUGUUACUACUCCAUAUUACUACUCCAUGUUACUACUCCAUAUUACAUAUUACUACUCCAUAUUACUACUCCAUGUUACUACUCCAUGUUACUACUCCAUAGUACUACUCCAUAUUGCAUGUUACUACUCCAUGUUACUACUCCAUAGUACUACUCCAUAUUGCAUGUUACUACUCCAUAUUACUACUCCAUAUUACAUGUUACUACUCCAUAUUACUACUCCAUAUUGCAUGUUACUACUCCAUAUUACUACUCCAUAUUACAUGUUACUACUCCAUAUUACUACUCCAUAUUACAUGUUACUACUCCAUAUUACUACUCCAUAUUACAUAUUACUACUCUAUAUUACUACUCCAUAUUGCAUGUUACUACUCCAUGUUACUACUCCAUAUUACUACUCCAUGUUACUACUCCAUAUUACUACUCCAUAUUACUACUCCAUGUUACUACUCCAUAUUACAUAUUACUACUCCAUGUUACUACUCCAUAUUACAUAUUACUACUCCAUGUUACUACUCCAUGUUACUACUGCAUAUUACAUGUUACUACUCCAUGUUACUACUCCAUAUUACUACUCCAUAUUACAUGUUACUACUCCAUGUUACUACUCCAUAUUACAUAUUACUACUCCAUAUUACUACUCCAUAUUACAUGUUACUACUCCAUGUUACUACUUCAUAUUACUACUCCAUAUUACUACUCCAUAUUACUACUCCAUAUUACUACUCCAUAUUACAUAUUACUACUCCAUAGUACAUGUUACUACUCCAUAUUACUACUCCAUAUUACAUAUUACUACUCCAUAUUACUACUCCAUAUUACAUGUUACUACUCCAUAUUACUACUCCAUAUUACAUAUUACUACUGCAUGUUACUACUCCAUAUUACUACUCUAUAUUACAUAUUACUACUGCAUGUUACUACUGCAUAGUACUACUCCAUAUUACUACUCCAUAUUACAUGUUACUACUCCAUAUUACUACUCCAUAUUACAUAUUAAUACUGCAUAUUACUACUCCAUAUUACUACUGCAUGUUACUACUCCAUAUUACUACUCUAUAUUACAUAUUACUACUGCAUGUUACUACUGCAUAUUACUACUCCAUGUUACUACUCCAUAUUACUACUGCAUGUUACUACUCCAUAUUACUACUCCAUGUUACUACUUCAUAUUACUACUCCAUGUUACUACUCCAUGUUACUACUCCAUAUUACUACUCCAUGUUACUACUUCAUAUUACUACUCCAUGUUACUACUCCAUAUUACUACUGCAUAUUACUACUCCAUGUUACUACUCCAUAUUACUCCUCAAUAA